rnacentral:rRNA from 1 species
UACGUAGGUGGCAAGCGUUGUCCGGAAUUAUUGGGCGUAAAGCGCGCGCAGGUGGUUUCUUAAGUCUGAUGUGAAAGCCCACGGCUCAACCGUGGAGGGUCAUUGGAAACUGGGGAACUUGAGUGCAGGAGAGAAGAGUGGAAUUCCACGUGUAGCGGUGAAAUGCGUAGAGAUGUGGAGGAACACCGGUGGCGAAGGCGGCUUCCUGGACCGACACUGACGCUGAGGCGCGAAAGCUAGGGGAGCAAACGGG